GCUGAAGCGGAUAAGGAUCUUCCGUUCCCGAAGCUCCUCCACUGUGGGCCUCUGGCUGAGCUGCGGGAGAGAGAGACACAGAUGCGGUCAACCAGCCACAUUUUAGAUCACUUGGUCCACCUGUGAGUGUACAGGUAAAGUGAACCCAGGUUACCUGCCUGGAUGCUAAGGAAACAGUCUCUGCAGCCAGAGUUGGUUUUCCGGGAAUGACGGGCUGCAGAGGUUGGCAGAAUUAUGUUUCCAUCUACGGCAGCAAAAGUGUCAGUUGCAAACGCUCAACAAAAGGGUACACGUCAAGAUCCGAAUCCCACUACUAAUACAACCUGACUGAGGUCUUGAUGGAAGGAUAUGGAGGCAAUGCUGGGGCUGAGGGAAGGUACGCCGGCCUGACCCUGCCCCCCGACCUCGGGCAUCUGGUCUUGCUGCGAUAAAGGCUCCUGAGGAGCAGAAUGUGUCCAGGGCCAGGAGGUGGUACAGAUUCCCUACCAGUUGCCAGGCCCCACACCUCUGUUCACAGAGCCAGAUGUGAAAGCUACUUUUGGUCUCUCCCUUAUAAAAAGCAGCCUAGCCCUUCCUUCAAGCUCAUUAUCUCUAAUUCCCCGAGCCAGUCCCAGGGGAUGGCAGAUGCUGAAAUUACAAGGCACUUUUCCUGGGAGAAGAGAGAGGUAACUGGGAGGAGGAAGAGGCAUUUAUCUUGAAGACUUGCAAGAACUAUGGGUAUUUGGGGACC